GAUGAACGCUGGCGGCGUGCUUAACACAUGCAAGUCGAGCGAGCGGCGGACGGGUGAGUAAUGUAUGGGGAUCUGCCUGAUGGCGGGGGAUAACUACUGGAAACGGUAGCUAAUACCGCAUACCAUCAGAUGAACCCAUAUGGGAUUAGCUAGUAGGUGAGGGAAAGGCUCACCUAGGCGACGAGCCCUAGCUGGUCUGGGAGGAUGACCAGCCACACGGGUACUGAGACACGGCCCAGACUCCUACGGGAUGCAGCAGUGGGGAAUAUUGCACAAUGGGCGCAAGCCUGAUGCAGCCAUGCCGCGUGUAUGAAGAAGGCCUUCGGGUUGUAAAGUACUUUCAGUCGGGAGGCGUUACCGACAGAAGAAGCACCGGCUAACUCCGUGCCAGCAGCCGCGGUAAUAC
rnacentral:rRNA from 1 species